rnacentral:misc_RNA from 1 species
UUUAUUCAAAGAUUUCAAUAGAGAAAUCAGAUGCAAGUCCUGUUUAUAAAGUUUGUUUAGGUGAAUAAUCUUACAUAUGAAUUAUAUUUUAACAGUUAGCAGAAAUCUUUUUCUGGCUGGUAUAUUUUGUCUUUCACAAGCGACGUCCCAUGCUUAUAAGGAAUAAAUAAAUAAGAAGAAGCUUCUAUAGAGAAUAAAAGACAUUGUUUGUAAAAAGGUGCCUUAAAUUUUGCAUAGAAAG